rnacentral:rRNA from 1 species
UACAGAGGGGGCAAGCGUUGUCCGGAUUUAUUGGGCGUAAAGAGUUCGUAGGUGGUUUGUUAAGUCUGAUGUUAAAGACUGAGGCUCAACCUCGGGAGUGCAUUGGAUACUGGCAGACUAGAGUAUGGUAGAGGCAAGCGGAAUUCCCAGUGUAGCGGUGAAAUGCGUAGAUAUUGGGAAGAACACCGGUGGUGUAGGCGGCUUGCUGGGCCAUAACUGACACUGAGGAACGAAAGCCAGGGGAGCGAAUGGG